GAUGAACGCUGGCGGCGUGCCUAAUACAUGCAAGUCGAGCGAACGGACGAGAAGCUUGCUUCUCUGAUGUUAGCGGCGGACGGGUGAGUAACACGUGGAUAACCUACCUAUAAGACUGGGAUAACUUCGGGAAACCGGAGCUAAUACCAGAUAAUAUUUUGAACCGCAUGGUUCAAAAGUGAAAGGCGGUCUUGCUGUCACUUAUAGAUGGAUCCGCGCUGCAUUAGCUAGUUGGUAAGGUAACGGCUUACCAAGGCAACGAUGCAUAGCCGACCUGAGAGGGUGAUCGGCCACACUGGAACUGAGACACGGUCCAGACUCCUACGGGAGGCAGCAGUAGGGAAUCUUCCGCAAUGGGCGAAAGCCUGACGGAGCAACGCCGCGUGAGUGAUGAAGGUCUUCGGAUCGUAAAACUCUGUUAUUAGGGAAGAACAUAUGUGUAAGUAACUGUGCACAUCUUGACGGUACCUAAUCAGAAAGCCACGGCUAACUACGUG
rnacentral:rRNA from 1 species